GGUUGGUCCAAGUGCAGUGGUAUUUACAACUAAUUGAUCACAAUCACUUAAAGAUUCCUUUGUUCCUUCUCCACUCCCACUGCUCUACUUGACCAGCAAAA
rnacentral:Y_RNA from 1 species